GGGCGGUUAGCUCAGUUGGGAGAGCACCUGCCUUACAAGCAGGGGGUCAGCGGUUCGAGCCCGUUACCGCCCACCA
rnacentral:tRNA from 7 species